rnacentral:rRNA from 1 species
CCGUGUGCUGAUGCGCGAUUACUAGCGAAUCCAGCUUCACGAAGUCGGGUUGCAGACUUCGAUCCGAACUGAGAGAGGUUUUUGGGAUUGGCAUCCGGUCGCCCGGUAGCUGCCCUCUGUACCCCCCAUUGUAACACGUGUGUAGCCCCGGACGUAAGGGCCGUGCUGAUUUGACGUCAUCCCCACCUUCCUCACAUCUUACGACGGCAGUCUCACUAGAGUCCUCAGCAUGACCUGUUAGUAACUAAUGAUAAGGGUUGCGCUCGUUAUGGCACUUAAGCCGACACCUCACGGCACGAGCUGACGACAACCAUGCAGCACCUUCACAGAGACCUUGCGGGCAUAAUCUUUCAACUAUGUUCCUCUGCAAUUCAAGCCCCGGUAAGGGUCUCGCGUAUAU